rnacentral:lncRNA from 1 species
GUUGGUUAUUGCGAAGUGCCGUGGCUGCCGGCGGGCGCUGCGGGACUCUCUGCAAUGGGACCCGAGCAGCUCUAGAGGGAGGCGGCGGCCCCAGAAGGCCGUUGGCUGAGAGAGACCAGGAGCCCUCGGAGCCGCCGCGCGCAUAGCGCUGUGGAGCAAGAAGCCAACCGCAGCGCGGGUCGACACGCCAGUAUCUGGCACCGGCAGGAGGCGCGGAACUUAGCUGCCCCAUCGGAACCCCGCCCGGAGGAAGCUGAGGGCCGAGAAAGGAUGAAUUCCGGACCGGGUCGCCCAGCCACAAGUGGAAACCUGGGCUCUCUGGAAAACGUUCUGAUCUCGAUCUGGCUAUCUCUGAAACAAAACUCCAGCCCCGCAAACCUCCCAAAGUUCAGUACACGUCCCCGUCCUCACCCCUGCCCUCCGGGCCACCUGCAGCGGGGGACUUACCGGCGCCUCGGGUCUCCUCCUCCCGACCCAGCGCGUCGCGGACACAGCUGGCGGCCAACAGGAGGCUUGGGCGCUCGACGGCGCCGGAACCUGUGAGACCGUCGCUCUGGGCGGGCUGCCGUGCGGGGUGGCAUCCUCUGCGGUGACUUCUGCUGUCUUUUGGGUCCGCCAGGAUUCCAAAAUCCCAGGCGGGUCGCUAGAAUUAUCCAUCUUCGUGGACAGGAAGCCCCAGAACGAACCACAUCUGUCCCACUCUGCUUCCGCCCUCCUUCCCCUUCGCAAGCUCCUGGCUGGGAUGGAGACAUCGGACGAGCUCGGAGAUCCCGACCUCUCAGGGGUCACUCGCAGCCGAACAGCCUGGAAUAUGGCCUUGUGGGCCCUUCCCGCCCAACCCCCUAGGACCCCACUGCUCAUCUUGUCAACCAGUUUCUGAGCCCCUACCCUGGCUGCAGCACGUGCUCGCACAGGCGCGCUGAGCUACUAACAUAGAAUCAAAAGCAGGGAGUUGGGUGUUCUUGCUUUCCCGCUGAAACCUAGAAUGUAAACAAGCCCUAGACCGUCAGCUGUGGUCAUUGGUUUAUUCUUCACAGCAC